rnacentral:rRNA from 1 species
AUGGAACAACUAGAUGGGUUUGUAAUAGAUGGUCAGGAAGGGAAAUUGUGCAUGCUGCUGAAGUCUUUGUAUGGACUUAAGCAAGCACCCAAACAGUGGCAUGAGAAGUUCGAAAGAACUUUAAAAGCUGCAGGCUUUGUUGUGAACAAAGCUGACAAAUGCGUGCACUAUUGCCAUGGUGGGGCAAAUCUGAAUGUUAUUAAGGAGGUCAAGGAUGUCCUAUCUCGCUGUUUUGAGAUGAAGGAUUUAGGAGUGGCUGAUGUCAUUCUGAACAUCAAGUUGUUGAUAGACGAUGAUGGUGGGAUUACAUUGCUUCAAUCUCACUAUAUGGAAAAGAUCUUGAGUCGCUUUGGUUACAGUGACAGCAAGCCCUCUCCAACACCAUAUGAUGCUAGUGUGUUGCUUCGAAAGAAUCAAAGAAUUGUUAGAGACCAAUUGAAAUAUUCCCAAAUUAUUGGCUCGCUUAUGUACUUAGCCAGUGCUACAAGACCGGACAUCUCUUUUGCUGUUAGCAAACUGAACCGUUUUGUCUCAAAACCAGGAGAUGUGCAUUGGAAAGCUCUAGAGAGAGUUUUGCGUCAUUUGAAAGGCACUGUGAAUUAUGGAAUUCACUACACUGGGCACCCAAAGGUGCUUGAAGGGUAUAGUUACUCAAACUGGAUCUCAGAUGCUGAUGAGAUAAAGGCCACGAGUGGAUAUGUAUUCACUCAUGGAGGUGGCGCAGUUUCUUGGAAAUCUUGCAAGCAGACCAUCUUAACGAGGUCAACAAUGGAAGAAGAACUCAAAGCGCUAGAUACAGCUACGGUCGAAGCAGAUUGGCUUCGUCGGCUCUUGAAUGACUUCUCAGUUGUUGAAUAA